ACCAGAACAGGGAAUCAUCAAGUGAUCCAUCCCCUGUCAUCCAUUUCCAAUUUCUGGUGUCGCUACCUUUUAGCAAUGCUGCAGUUGGAUGUUAUUUGGAUGAACUUGAUAAAAACUAAACAGCUCAACAAGAUGCAAGUGGAAGUUUUAGAGAACAUUCUUUAUGUUGGGACGUACAUGCAGCCACACAAAAAUCUAUUGUGAACAGUUUGCAGCAAUGAAAGAAAUGAUUGCACUGGUCACUACUGAUAUGUAUGACCAGCAGCAGAAGCAUUCUGCUUGUGACGAAGACAGCAAGGAUGAAAUGUUGCCUUUUAGAGACUAACAGUAACAAAUUAAUUCAACACAAAAUAUGAACAUUCACUACUGUCAUUGAAUGCAAAUAGAAAUAAAUAAUAUAAUAAUGUUCUUGUUGUUUUUACACUACACACAUUUUGGACUACUUUGGGUCUUUUUUUGACACUGAUAUUUGCUGUUUUAAGUUUGAAACCCCUGCCAACCUUGAAUCAGAAUACGAGUACCAGUAUUGUGGGUUUAAUUUUGAAUUUCUUUGUCUCAUAGAUUUGUUGCUAAUGUGGACAAACUCCUGCUGGGACUUGUACAUUUUUAAAAAAAUCAAAUCUGUAGUAGGUAUGUAAUGAAAGCUUUCAUUUGUUAUUUGAUGUAUAAAUGAAUGUGUGAAUAAAAAAACCCCUUUGUUUCAAGAAA